UAAGCUUAUUCUCAUUUUUAUGUUAUAUAUAGUAUAUUUAAGUUUUUUAAAGUUAUUAUUUGCAAUCACGACAAAUGUUUGAUUUUGGCUUAAGUUUUUACAUUAUUAUUAAAAUUGUAUGAAAAUUAAAGUGUGAUUUAAACAAUUUAAUUAAAUAUUAAGUUGGUAUUCGAGUGAAAUAAAAUUAUAAACCUUUAUUGUCUCAGCAUAAAAUAUUAUAAAAUUAUACAUGAAGGUGUGAUAUAGUAAUAAUAUUAAAAUCUGAUAUAUAUUUGUGCCAGCAUUCGCGGUUAUACUUUAAGAUUGAGUAAAAAUUCUAAGGUUAUAGUUAGAUGAUUAAAUUAAAAAUCUCAUACAGGUAAUAAAAGGUAAAAUUAGGAUAUUAUUAUGUAUGGAGUAAAAUUAUAAUUGAAGCUAAAAAAGUUUAGAAAUAAACUAGGAUUAGAUACCCUAUUAUUCUAAAAUAAAUUUAAUAUAAAACUGAAUUAGUAAAAGAUAAAUACUUAAAAUUUAAAAAAUUUGGCGGCAAUUUAAUCUAUUCAGAGGAACCUGUUUUAGAAUCGAUAAACCACGAAAAAUCUUACUUGCUUUAGUAAUUCUAACAGUUUGUAUACCAUCAUUAUCAGAUAAUUCUUAAAGGAAAAAUUAUUAAAUUUAGUUGUUUAGUAAAAUUAGAUCAUGGUGCAGCCAAUAAGCAAGGUAAAAUGGGUUACAGUAAAUUACUUUACUGCGGAUUAAUAAGAUAAUAUUAUUAUAAAGAUGGAUUUGAUUGUAUUUUUAGUUUAAUAAGCUAACAAGAUAUAAGUUCUAAAUUGUGUACAUAUCGCCCGUCGCUUUCAUUUAUAAGUGAAAUAAGUCGUAACAUAGUAGAUGUACUGGAAAGUGUAUCUAGUAAAGAUGAGGAUAUGUAUAUUUUCUUUAUAAAUUAAUAAUUACCCAUCUAUUUA
rnacentral:ncRNA from 1 species